rnacentral:rRNA from 1 species
GAUGAACGCUGGCGGCGUGCCUAAUACAUGCAAGUCGAGCGAACAGACGAGGAGCUUGCUCCUCUGACGUUAGCGGCGGACGGGUGAGUAACACGUGGAUAACCUACCUAUAAGACUGGGAUAACUUCGGGAAACCGGAGCUAAUACCGGAUAAUAUAUUGAACCGCAUGGUUCAAUAGUGAAAGACGGUUUUGCUGUCACUUAUAGAUGGAUCCGCGCCGCAUUAGCUAGUUGGUAAGGUAACGGCUUACCAAGGCAACGAUGCGUAGCCGACCUGAGAGGGGGAUCGGCGAAACUGGAACGGAGACAGGGUCCAGAGUCCUACGGGAGGCAGCAGUAGGGAAUAUUGCGCAAGGGGCGAAAGCCUGACGGAGCAACGCCGCGUGAGUGAUGAAGGUCUUCGGAUCGUAAAACUCUGUUAUUAGGGAAGAACAGAUGUGUAAGUAACGGUGCACAUCAUGACGGGACCUAAUCAGAAAGCCACGGCUAACUACGGG